rnacentral:rRNA from 1 species
UACGGAGGGUGCAAGCGUUAUCCGGAUUCACUGGGUUUAAAGGGUGCGUAGGAGGGCAGGUAAGUCAGUGGUGAAAUCCUGGGGCUUAACCCCAGAACUGCCGUUGAUACUAUCUAUCUUGAAUAUUGUGGAGGUAAGCGGAAUAUGUCAUGUAGCGGUGAAAUGCUUAGAUAUGACAUAGAACACCAAUUGCGAAGGCAGCUUACUACACAGUUAUUGACGCUGAGGCACGAAAGCGUGGGGAUCAAACAGG